UACGUAGGGUGCGAGCGUUAAUCGGAAUUACUGGGCGUAAAGCGUGCGUAGGCGGUUCCUCAAGUCCGUUGUGAAAGCCCCGGGCUCAACCUGGGAAUGGCAGUGGAAACUAGGGGACUGGAAUCUGGCAGAGGGGGGUGGAAUGCCGCGUGUAGCAGUGAAAUGCGUAGAGAUGCGGCGGAACACCGAUGGCGAAGGCAGCCCCCUGGGCUGAGAUUGACGCUCAGGCACGAAAGCGUGGGGAGCAAACAGA
rnacentral:rRNA from 1 species